AUUUCCGAAUGGGGAAACCCAGUGUGAUUCGUCACACUAUCAUUAACUGAAUCCAUAGGUUAAUGAGGCGAACCGGGGGAACUGAAACAUCUAAGUACCCCGAGGAAAAGAAAUCAACCGAGAUUCCCCCAGUAGCGGCGAGCGAACGGGGAGGAGCCCAGAGCCUGAAUCAGUGUGUGUGUUAGUGGAAGCGUCUGGAAAGGCGCGCGAUACAGGGUGACAGCCCCGUACACAAAAAUGCACAUGCUGUGAGCUCGAUGAGUAGGGCGGGACACGUGGUAUCCUGUCUGAAUAUGGGGGGACCAUCCUCCAAGGCUAAAUACUCCUGACUGACCGAUAGUGAACCAGUACCGUGAGGGAAAGGCGAAAAGAACCCCGGCGAGGGGAGUGAAAAAGAACCUGAAACCGUGUACGUACAAGCAGUGGGAGCACGCUUAGGCGUGUGACUGCGUACCUUUUGUAUAAUGGGUCAGCGACUUAUAUUCUGUAGCAAGGUUAACCGAAUAGGGGAGCCGAAGGGAAACCGAGUCUUAACUGGGCGUUAAGUUGCAGGGUAUAGACCCGAAACCCGGUGAUCUAGCCAUGGGCAGGUUGAAGGUUGGGUAACACUAACUGGAGGACCGAACCGACUAAUGUUGAAAAAUUAGCGGAUGACUUGUGGCUGGGGGUGAAAGGCCAAUCAAACCGGGAGAUAGCUGGUUCUCCCCGAAAGCUAUUUAGGUAGCGCCUCGUGAAUUCAUCUCCGGGGGUAGAGCACUGUUUCGGCAAGGGGGUCAUCCCGACUUACCAACCCGAUGCAAACUGCGAAUACCGGAGAAUGUUAUCACGGGAGACACACGGCGGGUGCUAACGUCCGUCGUGAAGAGGGAAACAACCCAGACCGCCAGCUAAGGUCCCAAAGUCAUGGUUAAGUGGGAAACGAUGUGGGAAGGCCCAGACAGCCAGGAUGUUGGCUUAGAAGCAGCCAUCAUUUAAAGAAAGCGUAAUAGCUCACUGGUCGAGUCGGCCUGCGCGGAAGAUGUAACGGGGCUAAACCAUGCACCGAAGCUGCGGCAGCGACGCUGAUGCGUUGUUGGGUAGGGGAGCGUUCUGUAAGCCUGCGAAGGUGUGCUGUGAGGCAUGCUGGAGGUAUCAGAAGUGCGAAUGCUGACAUAAGUAACGAUAAAGCGGGUGAAAAGCCCGCUCGCCGGAAGACCAAGGGUUCCUGUCCAACGUUAAUCGGGGCAGGGUGAGUCGACCCCUAAGGCGAGGCCGAAAGGCGUAGUCGAUGGGAAACAGGUUAAUAUUCCUGUACUUGGUGUUACUGCGAAGGGGGGACGGAGAAGGCUAUGUUGGCCGGGCGACGGUUGUCCCGGUUUAAGCGUGUAGGCUGGUUUUCCAGGCAAAUCCGGAAAAUCAAGGCUGAGGCGUGAUGACGAGGCACUACGGUGCUGAAGCAACAAAUGCCCUGCUUCCAGGAAAAGCCUCUAAGCAUCAGGUAACAUCAAAUCGUACCCCAAACCGACACAGGUGGUCAGGUAGAGAAUACCAAGGCGCUUGAGAGAACUCGGGUGAAGGAACUAGGCAAAAUGGUGCCGUAACUUCGGGAGAAGGCACGCUGAUAUGUAGGUGAAGCGACUUGCUCGUGGAGCUGAAAUCAGUCGAAGAUACCAGCUGGCUGCAACUGUUUAUUAAAAACACAGCACUGUGCAAACACGAAAGUGGACGUAUACGGUGUGACGCCUGCCCGGUGCCGGAAGGUUAAUUGAUGGGGUUAGCGCAAGCGAAGCUCUUGAUCGAAGCCCCGGUAAACGGCGGCCGUAACUAUAACGGUCCUAAGGUAGCGAAAUUCCUUGUCGGGUAAGUUCCGACCUGCACGAAUGGCGUAAUGAUGGCCAGGCUGUCUCCACCCGAGACUCAGUGAAAUUGAACUCGCUGUGAAGAUGCAGUGUACCCGCGGCAAGACGGAAAGACCCCGUGAACCUUUACUAUAGCUUGACACUGAACAUUGAGCCUUGAUGUGUAGGAUAGGUGGGAGGCUUUGAAGUGUGGACGCCAGUCUGCAUGGAGCCGACCUUGAAAUACCACCCUUUAAUGUUUGAUGUUCUAACGUUGACCCGUAAUCCGGGUUGCGGACAGUGUCUGGUGGGUAGUUUGACUGGGGCGG
rnacentral:rRNA from 1 species